rnacentral:rRNA from 1 species
AGUGAACGCUGGCGGUAGGCCUAACACAUGCAAGUCGAACGGCAGCACAGUAAGAGCUUGCUCUUACGGGUGGCGAGUGGCGGACGGGUGAGGAAUACAUCGGAAUCUACUUUUUCGUGGGGGAUAACGUAGGGAAACUUACGCUAAUACCGCAUACGACCUACGGGUGAAAGCAUGGGAUCUUCGGACCUUGCGCGAUUGAAUGAGCCGAUGUCGGAUUAGCUAGUUGGCGGGGUAAUGGCCCACCAAGGCGACGAUCCGUAGCUGGUCUGAUAGGAUGAUCAGCCACCCUGGAGCUUAGACACGGUCCAGACUCCUACGGGAGGGACCAGUGGGGAAUAUUGGACAAUGGUCGCAAGCCUGAUCCAGCCAUACCGCGUGGGUGAAGAAGGCCUUCGGGUUGUAAUGCCCUUUUGUUGGGAAAAAAAAGCAGCAGGUUAAUACCCCGCUGUUCUGACGGUACCCAAAGAAUAAGCACCGGCUAACUUCGUG